rfam:Kwoniella mangroviensis CBS 10435 unplaced genomic scaffold supercont2.3, whole genome shotgun sequence.
UGUCCCAUGGCUUAGUGGUUACGGCAUCUGACUGUUAGGUUAUCUGAGAGCAUUCGGGGGAUCGGUGGUUCGGUCCCACCUGGGGCAG